GGUUACUGAUCUAGAACCAGA
rnacentral:miRNA from 1 species